rnacentral:rRNA from 1 species
AGCGGACGCUGGCGGCAGGCCUAACACAUGCAAGUCGAACGAACUCUUCGGAGUUAGUGGCGGACGGGUGAGUAACACGUGGGAACGUGCCUUUAGGUUCGGAAUAACUCAGGGAAACUUGUGCUAAUACCGAAUGUGCCCUUCGGGGGAAAGAUUUAUCGCCUUUAGAGCGGCCCGCGUCUGAUUAGCUAGUUGGUGAGGUAAAGGCUCACCAAGGCGACGAUCAGUAGCUGGUCUGAGAGGAUGAUCAGCCACAUUGGGACUGAGACACGGCCCAAACUCCUACGGGAAGCAGCAGUGGGGAAUCUUGCGCAAUGGGCGAAAGCCUGACGCAGCCAUGCCGCGUGAAUGAUGAAGGUCUUAGGAUUGUAAAAUUCUUUCACCGGGGACGAUAAUGACGGUACCCGGAGAAGAAGCCCCGGCUAACUUCGUG